GAUGAAGAACGUAGCGAAAUGCGAUAAGUAGUGUGAAUUGCAGAAUUCCGUGAAUCAUCGAAUCUUUGAACGCACAUUGCGCCUUCUGGUAUUCCGGAAGGCAUGCCUGUUCGAGAGUCAUUAACAACCGUUUCGAUCCCUUUCUUUCAGAAAUUACAAAGAGGAAAAGGGUUUAGUUAUGGUGGAGGAGGGAAAGGGAGCGUUUAGCCUGUAAAAAAAGAGGCUGUGUUCCGCCUCCCCCCCAAAAUUGUACAGGCGGUCGUGUGCGCCCACGCAUCGAGGUGUUGUAAAAGCUGCCACGGCACUUUUCACCUGUGCAGUGCGAGAUUGGCCAGCCGGUUUAAAAACCCCUCCAAACAAUCAAAGGUUGACCUCGGAUCAGGUAGGGAUACCCGCUGAACUUAAGCAUAUCAAUAAGCGGAGGA
rnacentral:misc_RNA from 1 species